rnacentral:rRNA from 1 species
GAUGAACGCUGACAGCAUGCUUAACACAUCAGCAAUUGAUUGGUGGCGGACGGGUGAGUAACGCGUAAAGCACUUGCCUCACAGCUAGGGACAACAUUUGGACACGAAUGCUAAUACCUACUACUGUGAGAGAGCUUUGCGUCCCAUUAGCUCGUUGGAGAGGUAACGGCUCACCAAGGCGCUGCUGGGUAGCCGGCCUGUGAGGGUUAUCGGCCACACGGGGACUGAGACACGGCCCUUAGUCCUACGUGAGGCAGCAGUGGGGAAUAUUGGACAAUGGACCAAAGUCUGAUCCAGCAAUUCUGGGUGCACGAUGAAGUUUUCGGAAUGUAAAGUGCUUUCAGUUGGGAAGCGUUACCAACAGAAGAAGUGACGGCUAAAUACGUGCCAGCAGCCGCGGUAAUUC